AGGAUAUUCACAUCUUCUUAAUCAUUUGGCCAUUUACAGAUCAUGUGUAUCCUGCCUUCCCCAUCAGGAAAAUAGUUGGAGGAGCAUCAGUGAUUUACACAUGCGCGACAUCUAUAAGCUGAGGAGGAACAGGAGCAGGGAACAACAGCAUAACAGGAGUUUGACAGACACUCCCUCCCUCUUCCUCUGCAACCCCACCCCCUCGGCCAUUCUCAGAGGAGUUGUUCCCUGCCCAGUGGCAUGUGGAUGUGUGUAAUGGAGAUGGAUGGUGGCUGGCUCUGCCACACCGUGGAACAGACGGACUCCUCCCUAAACGCCUGUCUGCCAGCCUCCAUCAGUCUCCCUUCGACAGCCACCCCGGAAUAGAGCCCAGGCUCAAUAUUGGCCUGCUCAGCCUUUUCACUGCUGACUUUUUGUAAAAAAAAAAAUAGAAGAACAAAGAAGAAUUAAGGAAAUCAAGCAGCAAAAUCUACAUGCACAACAACAAGUAAUGUCAGAGCAACCCAGGGGUGCAAAAGCCGCAGCGAGCUCCCAAAGAGUCUAUUUUGCAAAGAAAUAUCCCACAAUCCUUUGGGAGCUUGUAUAGCUAUUGUUGUUGUGCUCCUCCUACACCUUGCUUCUUCCUCUUCAACUACUUUCCUGAACCCACAGUUCUGUAGAGACUUUAACCGUGUGUGCAGGUGUGUGUGUGUGUUUAUUUUGGUGUCUACAAAGGCUGUAUUAUCUUCUCGUUCCUUAUGCAUUUAUGUUCUGUCUGGUAUGGUUCAUACUGCU